CCACAAACAGCAGAAGGAACUGAAUCUCUGUGACUCACAUUGUGUGAAUUCCUCACGAGUAUAUAAAGGAAACUUCUCCACAACAGAAGAUGUUCAUGGUUUGACUUUCUACUCGAGUCGUGUCAAUAUAUAUAUAAUAGAUCAGGAUUCUUCUACACAACAGAUGAUGUGAAUGUUUCUGCACUUCACUCAUUUAUUCAAGUUCUCCAUGUAAAUCUGGACAUUAAUGUCAGGAUUGAAAUACAUCUGGACCAUCACAAAUUGCAGAACGAGAGAAAGUGAGGAAAUGGCCAAAGAUCAACAAGUCAAUGAAGAAUCAAACAGUUUCAUGUUUCUUCGUCAAAGCAGCACAAAUAUUUUCCGACCAAACAUGUCUGCUGAUCUCAGACCUGUACAAACACAAUCUUAUGUAUCACAGACUGUUAAACAUGAGAAAAGCACAUCAAGAUCUCUUCUGGAAGACUGUCUGAGACACGUUCAACUCAACUUUCAGCAUUUACGAUUGAAAAUGAAGCAAAACUUCAAAUAAUCUCUCAAACUCUAAAAACUGGACAAAAGAAACGUUCUUACUUUCUAAACAGAAGACAUUCAUGAACUGCGAAUAAACUCACAGACGCUUAUAUAGUAACAGAGCGUAACGAGGGGGCGUGGCCUGUUCAAUUGUGUUCAUUUGGGAACUCCCAGUUACGAAACACCUCACAUCUCUCGUGUCGUCAUGAGCUGUGCAUGAAUCCAACUAAUAUGUGGCUUUCUAAUUUUAUGGAUAUUGGGAAAGAAUGUUCCUUUUGUAACAACUGUGAGGAGUCUUUAAAUCAUCUGUUUGUUGAUUGCCAGAGUGUAAAGUCAUUUUGGAAAGAUUGUUUUUUUACUUAUUCAGUUAAAAUUAAUCUAACGAUAACUCUGAAUGUGAAAGAAAUUAUUUGCUACUUUGAGAAUGAUGAUAAAAAUAUUCACAAUUUUGUAAAUUUUAUCAUCCUGAAUGGCAAAUUUUUCAUUCAUAAAUGUAGAUUGUCAAAAUCUCCCCCUUUAUACAACGUUUUCUCUAACGAACUCAUUUAGUUAAUGAAGUCUCUUAAAAUUGUAAAAAAUUCAAAAGCUAUGUCUAUUGUAAAAUAUUAUGAAUCUGUAUAUGGCGUCUUAUGAAUGUCUCUAUUUUAUUUUAUAUUUCUCUUUUUAUUUAAUCAUCUUUGGAGCUUGUAUUAUUCAUGCCUGUUAUUUUUUGUAAUGUUAU